CGGACGGGUGAGUAAUGCAUAGGAAUCUACCCAGUAGUGGGGGACAACUCGGAGAAAUUCGAGCUAAUACCGCAUGUGUCCUACGGGACAAAGCAGGGGACCUUCGGGCCUUGCGCUAUUGGAUGAGCCUAUGUCGGAUUAGCUAGUUGGUAGGGUAAAGGCCUACCAAGGCGACGAUCCGUAGCUGGUCUGAGAGGAUGACCGGCCACACUGGAACUGAGACACGGUCCAG
rnacentral:rRNA from 1 species